GGAUUGUAGCUCAGUGGUAGAGCGCUGGCCUGGCACGUGCGAGGCCCUGGGUUCCAUCCUCAGCACCA
rnacentral:tRNA from 1 species